UUGAAGGCUGGAACAGCCUAGAUAGAUGGGGUGUCAGCGUCUUCACCUUUCUCUGGGGCCUCCAAACUCAGGCUGGACGCCUGGGGUAGGGGUCCGAGAUGGGUGGGUUAAGGAGGUCGCCGCUCCGUCAUCACCUCUCCGUUGUUGCCCUAAAGGUAGACUCACUUUCUCUCCGAGUGAGCCGUUCUGUACGUAUUUGAAGGGCAGAGUAGCCUCCCAAAGCCCCAAGCUCUGUCCGUGCAGCCCCUCUCCAAGCUGAUGUAGAAGCCCAGUGGCCUUCACUGAGUUGUCGUUCUUCAUACUUCAUACUUCAGACAUAGGGGCAGGAGGCGAGUAGGAAGGCAGAACCAACGUGGGCAAGGAGCCUUCGAGUCCUCCUGCCAGGCAGAACGGAGACGGGAGGUCAGAGGACAGGACUGGAAGGAGGGCCCCCUCAGUGUUCGUCCCUCUGGUGUGUCUGAUGGGUACCGAAGCCUCUUCUGUGUCCUUUAAUGUAUUGCCAAGACAAUUACCUGCAGAAAUUGGUUACCGUUACUAAGGAAGCAUAAUGGUUUCAUUUGCGAACACUGAGCACCUCCUCUGUGUCUAGGGUUUAUGGAAUGCUGAGGGGCGCCAUGAUGUUAUUCUUCUAUAACUAGUGUGGGUCAUGGAACAACCGAGACAAAGCACCAAGCUGUGCUGGCUAGCAAGACUUCAGAAAGAAGAGGACAUGGAGUUAGAUUCUGAGUGAUGGAUAAUCACCAGGCAGAGAAGUGGUAGGAAGUCUUUGGGGGGCACUUGUUCCUUCUGCAGAGCUGAACUGAACCCUGACCGUGGUGUUGGGCAUUGGGAUACAAUGAGGACCCAGAAGGCAUUCCUGCUGUUUUUAACCCACCAUCUAGGCAUGAAGAAGAGGUGGGAAUGAACACGAUGAAUUCAGGGAAAGGCAUGUGUCUGAGCUGGUCCCUAAGAAUCCAUCCACGCAGUGUUGGGGUACCCACUCCUUAUCUUUGGACUCUAGGGCUGUUUCCAUGGUUUCCUCUAUGCCCCCCACCUCAGUUCUCUUAGGGACCAGACAUGGGUGAAGAGAACUGGAUCUCCCAAUGCAUUCCUGCAGAAUCUUCUGUUCUUUCAGUCCCUGGGCUCCUUGGAGGGAUGACUGACACAACAUCUGAUGAAUUCAUUCACCACCUGUUUGCUAUGGUCAUACUCUGUCUGCAUAGGCUAGAUGUUGGGGAUAGUAGAAGCCAGAACUUCCACUUUACCUGGAAUUUGGAAUCAAAAGCAUGUCUGAGAAUUCCAGUAGGGUCCUAGUCCUUGAGACCAUGAUCUCCGUGGUCCUAAGUGCCUCCUCUUUUCUGUUUCCUUACCUGAAGGGUUCAGAAUACCAGUUGACACUUCUAUAGUACUGUCAUAAUAUAGUACUAAAUGUUUGGGAUGUAAUGUCUCAUUUAACCAUAAGUCCUAUGAGGUAAGCAGUAGGCUUAUCUCCAUUGUAUAGAUGAGAAAUCUAGGCACAGAGGAGAUAAGUCAUUUUUCUUUCUUUUAUAUUUUUAAGUUUAUUUAUUUACUUUGAGAGAGAGACAGCGUGAGUGGGGGAGGAGCAGAGAGAGAGGGAGAGAGAGAGACAAUCCCGAGCAGGCUCUGGACUGUCAGCACAGAGCCCGAUGUGGGGCUCAAACUCACGAACCAUGAGAUCAUGACCUGAGCCAAAACCGAGAGUUGGACACUUAACGAACUGAGCCAUCCGGGUGCCCCAAUAAAUCAUUGUUCUAAAGAGUGCACCAGAGGGACACCUGUGUGGCUCAGUCAGUUGAGUGUCCAACUUUGGCUCUGGUCAUGAUCUCACAGUUCGUGGGUUCCAGCCCCACGGCGGGCUGUCUGUUGUCAAUGCAGAGCCCACUUCUGAUCACCUAUCCCUCUUUCUCUCUGCACUUCCCCUGCUUGCUCUCUCUCCCCAAAAUAAAUAAACAUUAGGAAAAAAAGUACACGAGAAAUAAAUGGCAGAGCUGAGAUUGAAACCUAGGGCACGUGACCUGGGAGCCCCUGUACCUAACCACCAGGCUAGCCUGCCUCCUUGAUUGACCACAUAGAAUGUCCCCUUGAUGGGUCGCCUGGGUGGCUCAGUCGGUUAAGCGUCUGACUUUGGCUCAGGUCACAAUAUCGUGGUUUGUGAGUUCGAGCCCCGCAUCAGGCUCUGUGCUGACAGGUCAGAGCCUGGAGCCUGCUUCUGAUUCUGUGUCUCCCCCUGUCUUUGCCCCUCCCCUGCUCAUGCUCUGUGUCUCUCAAUAAAUAAAUGUUAAAAAAAUUUAUUAAAAAAAAAAAGAAUGUCCACUUGAGCCAGGGACUUAGGAGUUUCCAAAAGGUCCUGUGUCUUGGGUGGUACAGAGGAGAGAAACCUUUUAGCUGAGCAUUGGUGCUGGUAACGGUUUACCUGGAGCCCCUGCAGGUCUGGAGUAGGUUUGUAAGGACUACACAGAGCUGGUAUGCUUCCUUAUGGUCCUGUGUGUGUGUGUGUGUGUGUGUGUGUGUGUGUGCACACGAGUGCAUGGGAUUUCUUGAAUAAGCCUCACUCACUAAGAGGAACAAAUAGGUGUGAUGCAAGGAAGAAAGCAACAUGGAUGUGAUGUGCUAGAAUCUGGGGAUGUGGGAAACCAAGAUACCUCUUUUGCUGGGAAUCUUUGAGAAUAGCAGAGACUUUUAUAUUUGAAGAUUCCAAGAGGAACAGUCCAUCUUGGUAGCUGAGUAAGGAACAUGGCCAAGUAGCAGAAGCAGUCUUAAGAUGUUCCCCUGUCUUCCCCACAGAGGCUGUAUCCCAAAGCCACAUCUGUGUAUCUGACCCCAUCCCUCCAAGCAGGCUGGGACCUUGCCCAUGAUGGGAGCCAGGCCACAGGGCAGAGGUUCCAUGGGAUUCCAGCCACUUUUCCAUUACCUUUCUGAAACUCUAGGUUUUUCACUAGAGCCCUCUGCACGGAUCUGGGGAGGCCUGAAGCGGUCCCCCUAUGCCUGCAGUCAAACCACCUUGUGCAUCUGUCUUGGGGGGGAUGGGUGCUAAUGCUGGCAGUUAAGGGUAGUGGGUGGCCACAUCAAGAUAACAGGUAAGCGGGUUGUGACAUUCAGAACUAUAUAGACCUCCAGGCGACUUUUCUGCCACACAUACUUUUCUCCCUCGUCACAGGGUAGGGUGCGGUGGAACCCUUGGCAUGCCCAGCCCCCUGCCCCAGGCGCUUUCUUGGCCGAGGAGAACAGGUUGUACUCUUGAGAAACCACAAGAGGAAGUUUAGGGAGGGUUGGGGGUGGGGAAAGUUCUGGGGCGCCUGCCAAGUUUCCCUUUCUCUGUUCAGAAGUAGGUAUGUUUAUUUUGGUGUGUUUCUCUUGCCCUCAAAGACAUUUAAAUUUUAAACCCUCCGAGUUUCAAAGAGUUGUCAGGACCUGCCCCUGUUACAGUGGUGGUGGCGGUGGGGAGUGAGGGAGGUUGGCCAGAAACCUCCCUGGAAAUGGGACUAGAACAAGGUACCCUUUUGUUGGAUUUCACCUGGGAUUCUCACUGGUUGGUAAAGGCCGAGUGACUUCAGAAGGCCUUCUUUUCUCCUUUUCUCUGCCCUUUCACCUCUCUCUUCCCCAAAGCAUUCCCUCCAGCCCUAAACUCAGAGAAAUGUGCUUAUCAUGGCCACUUAGGAGGUGCAUUAUUCUACCAGGAACGGUCCCAAGUGUUUUACUUGCCUUAUCUCGUUUGACAUUCAGCACAACACCAGAUGGUAAAUACCUCUAACCCCAUUUACAGACGAGGAAAUUGAAACCCAGAGAGGCCGAGAAACUUCACCAAAGUCACACAGCUAGUAAGUGGCAGAGCCCGGAUUUGAACACUGGCCUAUUUGAUUUCACAGCCUGUGCUCUUGACAUUUAAAUUAACCCCCAAAUCAGAGCAUCAGCGUAUAUCAGAUCCUGAAGAGUAGGAGGUUGAGAUCCAAAGAGGCUUUUAAAACGCUGUUGCUAGGGGAGGGGUGGCUUAGGUAUAGAAUUGGAAGCGAUUCCUUGGAAACUAAUAUAUUAACAAAGGAUCACCAUGUGAAGAAAAGAUACAGUGGGUGAGAGGUUGAGGUCAAACUCUGGAUGGUUGAAUAAGAAGAUUUAGGAGGGAUAUUAUAGCUGUGUUCAAAUAUUUGAAAGGGUGCCUUUGGAAGCCCCCGGGUAGGGGGUGGGGGACUGGUGGAGGCAGAUUUCCAAAAUGCAUAAGAACUUUCUAGCAAAUAAUUGCCUAAUCCUCGUCUGAAGAAGUGAGCUCCUCGUCUAGGGGGCUCUAGGGCACAUGUGUAGGAGGGGCUUCUGUUAAGCUAGGAGAAGACCUCAAAGCUUCUAACACCUCCAGACCUCCCAUGUGAUUAUUCACCUGCUUCCUUCCCCCUUCCGGGUCAUCCCUUGGCUGGCCAUGCUCCUUGGCCCAUGAUGGUCCCUGUCUGUCCACCAGGUGGGGCUGUUGCCCAGAGUGUUGUCCACGGACUGCUAAAAUUGGGUAAAGAGCGCCAUCUGGUCCUUUAGCCGCCAGCUGGUUUCAUGGGUCCUCUCCCCAGUCCCAUCCCCAACCAUCUACACACCAGGGCCCAGGGAGCCACUUUUGACCGAGUGCAACCCCCAUAAAAUGCACUGUUAGUCUCCUACCCUGGAGCCCCCUCCCUCCCACACCUUCUUUUCCCUAUCCCUGACCUUCCUUUGCCCUUGAGCUAGAAGGACCCAUGCCUUGAGAGCAGGGGGCCAGGCCAGCAGCCCUCGUGGGCAUGGCCUUUCAUACCCUUCAAAGGCAUGCCAUGUCGUAUCCUUUAAGGGGCCUCAAAAGCUGUGGCUCUAAAACCAUUUGCCCUUAGUGGCCACUUCUCCCACCCUGCUUGAAAUUCCCCGGAGACAGCCAUCCUAAGAUGAGAGAGCAGAGGCCCAGGCUUUGUCUAGGAACAAGGGGUAGGAGAGGGGUUGCUUGGUGCCCCCUUAGGCCCUUAGAAAGGCAUAGAGCCAGUGGCCCAGGCACCAGCAGGCAGGGCCCAGUGUGCACAGGGACAGAGUGCAGUUACAAGCCCUGUGGCCAGAGGGCACCAUGGAGGGCAGGCCCAGAGAAAGAGGCCAUAACAGGUAAUGUUCAAAAUAUUUCAUAACUCCUGUGUCCCCCUCCAACAAUCUUAUGAGGCAGGAUGCCCACUGUGUGGAUGAACAAAGCAAGGCACAAGGGUUAAGCAGCUGGCUUCUAUUCACACAGCUGGUCAGGGGCUGAGCUGAAAGUCUGACUUGGCCAUUUGGCUGUAAGGUUUGUGCACAGAACCCCUCCUCCGUGCUUUCUCUUGUGGAGUGGUCAAGACAGCCAGCACCUAUUAGAGAAACCACACCGGUUUGAGUCUGAGCUUGGUUCCUUCCUGCUUGCAUGAAACUGAUUUCCUCAUCUGUCAAGUGAGUAUGACUCUAGUGCCUACCUCGCUGGGUCAUUGUGGGGAUUAAUAAUGUCUGAUAUUGGGGCUCCUGGGUGGCUCAGUCGGUUGAGUGUCUGACCCUUGAUUUCAGCUCAGGUCACGAUCCCAGGGUCGUGGAAUCGAGCCCUACGUCGGCUCUGUGCUGAGCACAGAGCCUGCUUAAGAUUCUCUCUCUGCCUUUCUCCCCAACUUGUGCACUCUCUCUCUCCCUAAAAAACAAUAAAGUAAAAAAUAAUAAUAAUAAUAAUGGCUGAUAUUCCUUGAAUGCAUACUAUAUGACAAGUACUAUCUUUUUUUCUCCUCACGGCAUCUCUGCAAGGGAGGCACUGUUAUGUCUUUACAGACAAGGAAACUGAGGCACACAGUAGUUACACAGAGUAAGGAGCUGAGGCUUCAGAGCCCACCCUGUGCACUAGGGUGCGGACCACAUGUAUACAUCAUGCACACAAAGCCCUGCCGAGUGCCAAACAGGUCAUAAGUCCCCAUAAGUGACACCUCCAUUAGGAUGUUGUCCUCCUCAUCGUCCUCCAGCCUGAGCUGCUGGCAGUGGGCAUGGGGGCUAUCCCAAAACAAAGAGACAGCCCUGGUUCCUUUCCUCACUGUCCUACCUAUGACUCCAUUUCAUCCUUUCUUCUGCAAUAAAUACCAGCCCACAAGUUCUGGCCUGUGGUCAGACAGUUGGACAGAAUACUUGAAAUUGGGACUGUCCCAGAAACUCCCAGUUCUGGCCCCAGCUUUGUCUGCUCCAACUCGCCCUCCCUCCUGUCCUCUGUUCUCUUCCCUCCAGGCUGCUCCUCCUGCCCCUCCCCUGGGGGCUCUGAGUUCUGGGAAAGGAAGCAGAGCAGGGCCUCAGAUGCAGACCUUAGGCUCCAGCUGGAAGUGUUGGAGGCUAUGGGAAGAGGGGCCGGCGCGGGGGAGAAAGGAUGGGGGCGCAGAGGGCCCCCAGGCUGCCUGUCCCCAGGAAGGCAUCUGUCUAUCCUUCACAGACUCUUUCCUAAGCUCACUGCUGGGGGCCGAGGAAUCCGCUCUGGAUAAGACCCAGGGGAGGGUUUACGCCUCUCUGGCAAGUGGCUAUCACAAGCUGUCUUUGGAUUAUGGAGAGGAGGGAGGCCUGCUUCCUCCCAACACCAGGCCCCCGAGAGUCAAGGCUGUGUUUCCCCUUCCUUCCAGCUCCAUCCCCUUUUCUUUAAACAGUAUCUAUUGCAGAACCACAAACUUGGAGGCUGUUCACAUGUGCAAUCUAUUUUCAUCACAGUGAGAGAGGAUCUUGGGGUUACAGACUCUCAGAAGUACCGGGUAGCUGAGCAUAGGCCAGAGUGUGGAACACUCUAGUUUUUACCAGGCCCUCUCCCUUUUCCUUCUAGUCAGGUGGUACCUGCUGGUGCUAGAGGCAACCUCUAUUUUUUCCUGGAAUUGACUUGAUUCCACCUCUAGGACCAGGCUGAGUUUUUCUCUUGGGUCUCUCUGUCUCCAAGGAGACAGUCUUUUUCUGCUUGGGCCCAGCCUCUUGAGUUCUAACUCAAAAAAACUCUUUGCAACCACUGGACAUGAGCUUAGUGCCUCCUGGGUCGUCCUCAGAAAGUCCUGCUUCUUCCCUGCCUUUCCUCUGACACAGUUUCUGGGAGUCAUUUUUGGCAUUCCUUGUGGGAAUCUGUUGUGUGGAUUUUCUCUGAACCUUCAUUUCUUCCCAGGCACAUGGCAGCAAACAUAUUGCAGAUAAUGAUAUCUUUUGCACAAUACUUCCAUAUGCCAGGGACUGUUGUGAAUGCCUGUGGAGAGAAUGUACCGUUAGUAGGUCAGUACGUUUAUAAAAAAUAUGCAUGUUUAUUAACUCAUGUCUCACUCUCCCCAAGAAUCCUGCGAAGUUCCCUUAUUUUACAGAUGAAGAGACUGAGGCACAGAGGUUAAGUAACUUGCCUGAGGUCAUACAGCUAGUCCAUUCUGAGAGCCUGGUAGCUGAAAGAACUCCGACCCGAGUCAGACUUUUCCUGCACGUUGUGUGUGCUUGUGUGUGUGCACUUGAGUGUGUGCCCACCUGCCAGAGGGAGUGUGAGAAGACCCCAGGUUCCCAGGGGGAACCCCAGGUCCUGUUGAGAUGCUGUCUUGAACACAGCGUCAGGACACACAGAGCAGGCUGGUACAUGCCUGGGCUGCCUCCUUGUGUGACAGUGUAUUUGUGUGUUGCACCUCUGUGCGGAGCUGUGACAGUGUGGGUACACGUACCCCAGGCAAUCCCAGGGCCUUCUCUAUCCCUCGGUGCUCUUGGCCGGAGCUUCAAGGUUGUCUACUAAGCCAAGCGAGAAGGAAAGGAAGGAGCAAGAAUGACCCAGCCCUGCCCCAGCAGGCAGGUCAGGUGUCACACAAGAUCCAGGAAGCAGGAGUGGGUGGUGGCGAUAUGAGCUUUGCUAGGUGGGGCUGGGGCCCUGACCUAUCUGGGGAGCCCUGGAUGAAUCAGCCCGACCACAGCCGCCCCAUCUGCGGUGGUGGUGCACACCAGUUUUUCCUCCAGCUCCCCCUCCAACGCUCCUUUUCCUUUCCUUUCUGUCCCCCAGACUCAGGCUUUGAUCAGGGUGUGGCUCCAGGGUAGUGGCUGAGGGCACAUCUCUGGAGUCAGUGGUUAAGCUGCGUCCUCGUGCUGGCCCUGCAAACUUUACUUUCGAGAUACCCCACCCAGAAAUGGGCAGCCACUCUGGCCCAGGAAGGAUGCCACAUGCCCUGUGCAGAGGACAGGCCUGCACAGGCCUAGGAUCCUGGGCUCACCCACCUGGAAUGUCCCUCCAACAACAUCUGUAAGGCUCAGAGGUCCUGUUCACUCCUCAUUUAUAGCAGAGCCACAUUUUAUGCAGUGCUGGGUUCAAGGUCAGUGUAAAAACAAAUCCACCUCAAAAUUAUUAUUAAAGUCUCCUUAAACUCAUAAAACACAGGAUACAUAGUUUAGGCAUUCUCCCCCCCCAUUUCUGAGAAUGUCCAGCAUAGACAGUUAUCGUUGGAACAGAUGGCCAUGUCCUUGGUAGAACAUGAUGUUGAGCUUGAGGUAAGGGAUCGCAUUGUAUAAAUAAUACCUAAGUUUCUCUGGUUGAUUAGUGUCCCUUCCAGUGGAUAUAAUUGAAUUUGUGAUAGUUAAAUUGGCACAUUAAGGGAUUCGGUAGGCAUUUGCUCCUGGGUUCUUAUGGGCUCCCUGGGCCACAGGAAAGGUUUGAGUGGCAGUGCUGGGGGAAUCUGGAGGAAGGAGCAGUUGCUUCUGGGUGGAUUAACCAGAAAUUUCUUCUCAGAGAUACCAUUUGAGAAAAUAAAAGAGGACUGGACUUCAGGAGAAAUGAUUCAGGAGCUGUUUUAUUUUCUUUUCUUUUAAAGUUUAUGUAUUUAUUUAUUUAUUUAUAGUAAUCUCUACAUCUAACGUGGGACUCCAGCUCACAAUCCCAAGUUUAAGAGUCGCACACUCUCCCGACUGAGCCAGCCAGGCGCCCCAGGAGCUAUUUUAUUUUAUUAAAAUAAAUUUUUUUAAUGUUUACUUAUUUCUGAGACAGAGAGAGAAGAGCAUGAGUGGGAGAGAGGCAGAGAGAGAGGGAGACAGAAUCAGAAGCAGGCUCCAGGCUGUCAGCACAGGGCCUGAUGCAGGGCUCGAACUCACAAACCGUGAGAUCCUGACCUGAGCCGAAGUCGGUUGCUCAGUCGACUGAGCCACCCAGGCGCCCCAUCCCCAGGAGCAAUUUUAAAUGGUGUGGUUUUUGUAAUUUUUUACUUCUUCGAAUAUCUCAGUUUUUUUUACUGAGAGCCACAUUGUAGAAAUAAUCAUUUUUCGAUUCCUAUUUCUAUGACAAUCAUUAGGCUUACUUAUUCUUUGUGUUGUGGUUGCUUCUUUCUAAAAUAGUGGCUAUUUCUAGAAUCACUAUUAUUUUUAUAACAAUAAUUAUUUUUACUAUGUCACUUCUUGUUAUUAUUAUUUUUUUUUAAUGGUUUAAAGACUCCAGAGAGGUUGAGACGUGAAUGGCUGUAAAGAAUGGAGAGGCCUGGGGCAUUACACCCUUACAGAUUAUUGAGAAUCCCAAAGAAUUUUUGUUUUUGAAGGUUGCGCCCCUGGACAUUCUAAUUUUAAAUGAGAAAUUAAAAGGAUAUGAAUUCACUUAAAGUAACAGUAAAAAAACUCACUGCAUGUGAAUGUAGCAUCCUAUUUUUUAUAAAAUAAUUAUAUUAUUAAAUUAUUAAAAAUUAGUGGAGUGGGGGCACCUGGCUGGCUCAGUCGGUGGAGCAUACAACUCUUGAUCUUGGGGUCAUCAGGGUUCAUGAGUUCAAUCCCCAUGUUAGGCAUGGAGCCUACUUAAUAAAAUAAAAAUUAGUGAGAAGUGUGGCUUUAUUUUACAUCUUUGCAAAUCUCUUUAAUGCCUGACUUAAUAGAAGACAGCUGGAUUAUCAUGUCUGCUUCUGUUUUAAUUUGUUGUAGUGUGUUAUUUUGGUUGAUAUAUAUGAAGAAAACCUGGCCUCAGAUAUGUGGUUGGAAAGGGAGAAUUUGUGAACUGGUUUAGAUCCUGUGGCCCUAGUGGAACAUAGAAUGAUUGGUGAAGAAGCCAAAUCAACAGCAUUGGGUUGGGGACUUUGGACUUUAUUUAGUAGGUAAUGGGGAGCCACUAAAGGCUUUUGAACAAGGAAGUGACAUGAUCAGACUUUUUUUUUUUUUAAUGUUUAUUUAUUUUUUAGAGACAGAGAGAGCACACAAGCAGAGGAAGGACAGAGAGAGAGAGGGAGACACAGAAUCUGAAGCAGGCUCCAGGCUCCAAGCUAUCAGUGCAGAGCCCCAUGUGGGGCUCGAGCCCAUGAACCGUGAGAUCGUGACCUGAGCUACAGUCAGAUGCUCAACCGACUGAGCCACCCAGGUGCCCCUGGACUGUUUUUUGUUCUGUUUUUUUUUUUUUUAAGUUUAUUUUUUAUUUUGAGAGAGAGAGACAGAUACUGUGAGUGGGGAGGGGCAGAGAGAGAGGGAGAGAGAAUCCCAAGCAGGCUCCGCCCUUUCAAUGCAGAGCCCGACACAGGACUCAUGAACUAUGAGAUCAUGACCUGAGCCGAAAUCAAGAGUCAGACACUUAACCCUACUGAACUACCCAGGCACCCCGGUCAGACUGUUUUAAGAUGAUUUCUAGGGCAGUAAUAGAAUAGAGUUGGCAAGAAAGAGUCUACAUGAGAUGUAACAAGGAUUGAAACUAGGGUGAGGCCAGUAGAUAUGGAAACAAGGGGGUGAUUUGGCAAAAUAUUUUGAAGGUAAAAACAACAGACUUAGUAAUUUUUUGGUAGGAAGGUAUGAAUAAUCAUCUGCCCUGUGAAGUUGCUCUGCCUUCCCCAGUUGAGCACCAGGCAUCCUUCUAAGAUGAAGUAUGUCAUAGUUUUCUGCUUGCAGGCCGUCUCUCCUACUAGGCUACCAUGGAUGCCCGCAAUAAAUGAGAGUAGUCAGGACCACCCCAGAAUGUUUCAGCCCAUGUGGCUGGCAGAAUGUUGGUGCCAUUAAUAGAAAUGUAAAGCUCAGGAGGAAAAGAUAGCCAUUAUCAUCAAGUAUUACUAAGUAAAGAAGAAAAGGGUAAGAGAAGAUGUCAAGCUGUGAAUAGAGAGAAAGUAGUGGGUGGGUCUUGAAAUAUAUCAUUCUGUUGGCAAGGAAGUACAUUUUCCUGGGUACUAAAGAUGUGGGGAGAAAUAUAAAAACAUCUAGGAGAGAUCGCUCCACUCUUUGUUCUCAAGUAACUCAAGUUCAGUUGGGGCACUGUUUUUCAAAACUAGAAAUGUUUUCAUUUUAACCCAUUUUAUAUACCCACGUACAAACACACAUGUAUAUGUAUACCAAACAAACAAGUUCCACUAAGCAAUACUUACCCUUACUUCAGAUAAGUUCUUGUAUUUUCUUUUAUUCUGUUGUUUAUUUUUUCUUUCUUUUUUUUUUUUUAAUGCUGGUCAUGAUUAGCUUCAUGACUUCAUGACCCGGUAGAGUGUCCUAACUUGCAAUUGGAAAAACACGAAGUGGGCGAGGUUUCACUGAGUAUUUUCAAAGUUCUGUUAGCAACAGAAAUAGAUCGUCAAAUAUGAGGCAAAAGGAAUUUAUUGGGAGAAGGUUAGGAACUCAGACACGCCAAAAAGGCUGGAAAAGCAUGUUUGGAAAUGGACAGAAACUGAUAAAAGUGCCUGAGGGCUGGGCAGAGGCUCCAGCAGAAAAAUGAGUGGUUACCUCUGCCUGGCCACGCAUGGUGGGAAUGGACGGGCUGGCCCCUCCCGUGUCUGUGGUGCAGGGAGGCAGGCUGGCUCCUGGAUUUGCAUUAGGGAAGAGGAGAUCCCCCAAAAGGAAGUGGCAGUGCUGUAGGAAAGAAGGCUGGAUGCUUGACAACCAAAAGAGAAGAGUCUAGAAAAGGCAUCAUGGCUUAUGCUCAUAAUAAGAUGUCUAUCAGUGAGUGAGUGAGCGAAUGGUGUCCUUGCACACUAGUUGACCUACAUGGUGGGCAUGUUCUUGCCCAGCUGGUGGCCUUGGCAUGUGGUAAACUUUCCUUUCAGAAAGCAGUUUGGCUACAGGUAUCAGAACCACAUGCCUCCUUCGGGGGAGAGGGCCCAUGCUUCCAUGAUAUUCUGACCCUCUGCCUUAGUAAUUCUGCUUUCCAGGCUCUGUCCUAAUUUUAAAUAAUUCCAAAUGUGGAAAAAAAACCUUUGUGACAAUUUUUAUCAAAGUGUUAUAGACAGUAACACUUAGGUACAAAGAUUUGGAACAACCAACAUGCUUCACAAUAGAACAUGAUUAAGUAAAGUAUGGCAUAUCUAAUAAAGAGAAUAUUAGGUAGCCAUUAAAAUGUCAAUUGCAAAAAUAUGUGAUACCACAAAAGUUACUUUUGUAGUAGUAUUAAGGGAAAAAUCAGGAUGCAAAAUUGUACAAACAAUAUAGUGCAACUAUAUAUUUUACACGCACACAUAUACAUGCACACACACACACAAGAAGAGACUAGAAGAAAAUAUACUGUAAUGUUAGCAGUGGUUGUUGUUUUUGUUUAAUUAAUUUAUUUUAAGAGAGAGAGAAUGAGCGGGGGGGAAGGGCAGAGAGAGGGAGAGAGAGAAUCCCAAGCAGGCUCCUGACUGCCAGUGCGCCCUCCAUGGGGCUAGAACUCUCGAACCUCGAGAUCAUGACCUGAGCUGAAACCAAGAGUUGGACACUUAACCAACUGAGCCACCCAGGCACCCCAGCAGUGGUUGUUUUUUGAGGCAGUAGAACUAUGCAUGCUUUUUUUCCUACUUUUUCCCGUUUUUCUAAAUGUUCUGGUUCUGUAAUAACAUGAAAAAUGUGAUGGUCAUGAGUCAUGUUUCCCUAAGUAUAUAGAAAAUCAGUCUUCUUUUUCUUUUAAUUUUUAAAAAAUGUUUAUUUGUUUUUGAGAGAGAGAUGGAGUUUGAGUGUGGGAGGGGCAGAGAGAGAGGGAGACACAGAAUUCGAAGCAGGCUCCAGGCUCCGAGCUGUCAGCACAGAGCUCGACACGGGGCUUGAACUCUCGAACUGCGAGAUCAUGACCUGAGCCGAAGUUGGACGCUUAACCAACUGAGCCACCCAGGCACCCCCAGUCUUAUUUUCUUAGUGUCUUCUCAGAGAUAGUAGAUGCCAGGUAAAAAGUUGCCAUGAGGAAUCUGGUGUGACAGCCCAGGGGAGAUCCUGGUGUGGCCUGGGGAGCGACCACUGCCUCUGCCUCAUGUUCCCAGCGAAGCACUGACUGCUGACCCUUCAAGUCCUGUGGCACCAAUAAAACUGAAAUAUUCA